GUGCCCUUGGUGAAAUGGUAGACACGGCAGACUUAGAAUCUGUUGCGAAAGCGUAAGAGUUCGAGUCUCUUAGGGCGUA
rnacentral:tRNA from 2 species